rnacentral:rRNA from 1 species
AUUGACCUCGGAUCAGGUAGGGAUACCCGCUGAACUUAAGCAUAUCAAUAAGCGGAGGAAAAGAAACCAACAGGGAUUGCCUUAGUAACGGCGAGUGAAGCGGCAACAGCUCAGAUUUGAAAUCUGGCCCUUUCGGGGUCCGAGUUGUAAUCUGCAGAGAGUGUUUCGGGUGAGAUCACGGUCUAAGUGCAUUGGAACAUGCCGUCAUAGAGGGUGAGAAUCCCGUAUGCGACCGUGGCUUAAGCCCAUGUGAAGCCUCUUUGACGAGUCGAGUUGUUUGGGAAUGCAGCUCAAAAUGGGUGGUAAAUUUCAUCUAAAGCUAAAUACUGGCUGGAGACCGAUAGCGCACAAGUAGAGUGAUCGAAAGAUGAAAAGCACUUUGGAAAGAGAGUUAAACAGUACGUGAAAUUGUUGAAA